GGACAGGUGAGAUACAGACAGGUAACAUGGGACAGGUGUGACAUGGACAGGUGUGACAGGGCCAGGGCAGCAUCUGCUGGGUGGUCACCUCCUGGCCACACACCUCUGAGAGCACCUGGACAGGUGAGAUACAGGUGAGAUACAGGUGUGAUAGAUACAGGUGUGACAGGUA